GUYCUUUUGAAUUAAUUUAAGGUUUGACCUGCCCACUGAAUAUUAAAUGGCCGUGGUAUUUUGACCGUGCUAAGGUAGCAUAAUCAUUAGUUUUUUAAUUAAAAACUGGAAUGAAAGGUUGGAUAAGAAAAAAACUGUCUCUAUUUAAUUUAAAUGGAAAUUUAUUUUUAAGUAAAAAAGCUUAAAUUUUUUUAAAAGACGAGAAGACCCUAUAGAGUUUAAUUAUUAAAAAAAAUUUUUUAAUUAAGAAUUUAAUUAAAAAUAAAUUUUAAUAAUUUAAUUGGGGUGAUUGAAAAAUUUAAUAAACUUUUUUUAUUUUUAAUACAUAAAUUUAUGAAUAAAUGAUCCAUUAUUUUUGAUUAUAAGAUAAAAUUACCUUAGGGAUAACAGCGUAAUUUUUUUUGAGAGUUCUUAUUAAAAAAAGAGAUUGCGACCUCGAUGUUGGAUUAAAAUUUAUAUUUGGUGUAGAAGCUAAAAUAUUAGGUCUGUUCGACCUUUAAAAUUUUACA
rnacentral:rRNA from 1 species